rnacentral:lncRNA from 1 species
UCUAUUUGACUUGUAAGAGAAAGUAUCUUGAUUGGGUAUCUUGAUAACUCUAGAAAGUGGAGUUAAAUUGAAGUGUAUAGCUCCUAACUUCGCGGAGGGUUACGUUGGCGGCCGACAACGUAACAUCGGGAGUUAGUAGUGAAGCACACUUCAUUACUUUCGCAUGAUUUGGGGUAUUAUCUGCUUGAGCGGAGAUACGAUAGCGUGGGUUACUAACUUACG